UAGGGGAUAUUAGAAAUGGACGAAAGUCUGAUCUAGCAACACCGCGUGUGCGAAGAAGGCCUUCGGGUCGUAAAGCACUUUUUGGAAGGAAUAGGAAGGAAUGUACUUCCAGAAUAAGUCUCGGCUAACUACGUGCCAGCAGCCGCGGUAACACGUAGGAGGCAAACGUUAUCCGGAUUUACUGGUCGUAAAGCGCGUGUAGGUGGUACUGUAAGUAGGGCGUGAAAGCUCCUGGCUCAACUGGGAGAGGCCGUUCUAAACUACAGAACUAGAGGAUGGUAGAGGGAGGUGGAAUUCCAGGUGUAGCGGUGGAAUGCGCAGAUAUCUGGAGGAACACCGGUGGCGAAGGCGGCCUCCUGGACCAUUCCUGACACUCAGACGCGAAAGCUAGGGUAGC
rnacentral:rRNA from 1 species